GAUGAACGCUGGCGGCGUGCCUAAUACAUGCAAGUCGAGCGAACGGACGAGAAGCUUGCUUCUCUGAUGUUAGCGGCGGACGGGUGAGUAACACGUGGAUAACCUACCUAUAAGACUGGGAUAACUUCGGGAAACCGGAGCUAAUACCGGAUAAUAUUUUGAACCGCAUGGUUCAAAAGUGAAAGACGGUCUUGCUGUCACUUAUAGAUGGAUCCGCGCUGCAUUAGCUAGUUGGUAAGGUAACGGCUUACCAAGGCAACGAUGCAUAGCCGACCUGAGAGGGUGAUCGGCCACACUGGAACUGAGACACGGUCCAGACUCCUACGGGAGGCAGCAGUAGGGAAUCUUCCGCAAUGGGCGAAAGCCUGACGGAGCAACGCCGCGUGAGUGAUGAAGGUCUUCGGAUCGUAAAACUCUGUUAUUAGGGAAGAACAUAUGUGUAAGUAACUGUGCACAUCUUGACGGUACCUAAUCAGAAAGCCACGGCUAACUACGUGCCAGCAGCCGCGGUAAUACGUAGGUGGCAAGCGUUAUCCGGAAUUAUUGGGCGUAAAGCGCGCGUAGGCGGUUUUUUAAGUCUGAUGUGAAAGCCCACGGCUCAACCGUGGAGGGUCAUUGGAAACUGGAAAACUUGAGUGCAGAAGAGGAAAGUGGAAUUCCAUGUGUAGCGGUGAAAUGCGCAGAGAUAUGGAGGAACACCAGUGGCGAAGGCGACUUUCUGGUCUGUAACUGACGCUGAUGUGCGAAAGCGUGGGGAUCAAACAGGAUUAGACACCCUGGUAGUCCACGCCGUAAACGAUGAGUGCUAAGUGUUAGGGGGUUUCCGCCCCUUAGUGCUGCAGCUAACGCAUUAAGCACUCCGCCUGGGGAGUACGACCGCAAGGUUGAAACUCAAAGGAAUUGACGGGGACCCGCACAAGCGGUGGAGCAUGUGGUUUAAUUCGAAGCAACGCGAAGAACCUUACCAAAUCUUGACAUCCUUUGACAACUCUAGAGAUAGAGCUUUCCCCUUCGGGGGACAAAGUGACAGGUGGUGCAUGGUUGUCGUCAGCUCGUGUCGUGAGAUGUUGGGUUAAGUCCCGCAACGAGCGCAACCCUUAAGCUUAGUUGCCAUCAUUAAGUUGGGCACUCUAAGUUGACUGCCGGUGACAAACCGGAGGAAGGUGGGGAUGACGUCAAAUCAUCAUGCCCCUUAUGAUUUGGGCUACACACGUGCUACAAUGGACAAUACAAAGGGCAGCGAAACCGCGAGGUCAAGCAAAUCCCAUAAAGUUGUUCUCAGUUCGGAUUGUAGUCUGCAACUCGACUACAUGAAGCUGGAAUCGCUAGUAAUCGUAGAUCAGCAUGCUACGGUGAAUACGUUCCCGGGUCU
rnacentral:rRNA from 1 species